rnacentral:rRNA from 1 species
AUACGGAGGGUGCGAGCGUUAAUCGGAAUUACUGGGCGUAAAGCGUACGUAGGCGGUCCGUUAAGUUAGAUGUGAAAGCCCCGGGCUUAACCUGGGAACUGCAUUUAAAACUGGCGGACUAGAGUUGAGUAGAGGGGAGUGGAAUUCCAGGUGUAGCGGUGAAAUACGUAGAGAUCUGAAGGAACACCAGUGGCGAAGGCGACUCCCUGGACUCGAACUGACGCUGAGGUACGAAAGCGUGGGUAGCAAACGGGAUUAGAAACCCGGGUAGUCC